CAGCAGCCGCGGUAAAACGAAGGGGGCUAGCGUUGCUCGGAAUCACUGGGCGUAAAGGGUGCGUAGGCGGGUUUUUAAGUCAGAGGUGAAAUCCUGGAGCUCAACUCCAGAACUGCCUUUGAUACUGAAAGUCUUGAGUUCGGGAGAGGUGAGUGGAACUGCGAGUGUAGAGGUGAAAUUCGUAGAUAUUCGCAAGAACACCAGUGGCGAAGGCGGCUCACUGGCCCGAUACUGACGCUGAGGCACGAAAGCGUGGGGAGCAAACAGGAUUAGAUACCCCGGUAGUCCCUGUCUCUUAUAC
rnacentral:rRNA from 1 species